rnacentral:rRNA from 1 species
CACUAGGAGAAACUUUACUCCUAGCAGUACCUGCCCAGUGCAAAGUUGUAAACGGCCGCCCUAGCGUGAGGGUGCCAAGGUAGCGAAAUUCCUUGCCUUUUAAUUGUAGGCCUGCAUGAAUGGAUUGACGAGGGUCAAACUGUCUCUUGCUUUGUGUAGCGAAAUUGGACUGAAGGUGAAGAUACCUUCAUAUAAAAGUUAGACAAGAAGACCCCGUGCAGCUUUUAAAAACUUACUUAUUAAGAGUUAUAAGAUUUUUAGGUGGGGCGCCUAGGAAGUAAAACUUAACCUUCUUAUUUGUUAAAGAUAACUGUCUGGUGUAGACCCGGCAAGUCCGAUCAUGGGAGAAGUUACGCCGGGGAUAACAGGCUUAUCCAUUAGUAGAGCUCGUAUUGGCUAAAUGGGAUUGGCACCUCGAUGUUGAAUUAAGGAUAAUACCUCUAAGGCGUAGAGGCUUUGGAAGUGGGUCUGUUCGACCUUUAAUACCUU